GAGCAGGAAGGUGAUGGCUGCCUUUCACUUUGCCCCAGCAUUGCCCUUUUUUGAGCAGAGGCAUCUUAUGGCUUCAGGCCCUCUUUCAGUACUGUAAGGCUGCUACAAAGUUUUCCUGGAACCUUCUCUUCUCCAGGCUGCACAACGCCAGCUCUCUCAGCCUGUCUUCUUCACAGUAAAGGUGUUCCAGUCCUGUGAACAUCUUGGCCUCCUCCAGACCUGCUCCAACAGUUUCAUGUCCUUGUUAUGUGGGUGGUCUCAGAACUAAAUGGCGACACUCCAUGCCUUGAGAAGCACAGGUGGAAUGACACUUGGAUCCUGGAAGGCCAAGUGCAGGGGCUGUUUCAGCCUUGUUGACGAGCAGUGGGUCCAACCCAGCCAGACCUUCCCUUUCUCGUCCAACGCUGCGUGAGUUGUUGCAUGGUGUUGGGGCCUUUGGAAUAGAACAUUACUGCUGUGGUUUCCUGAUUCAAAAUGAGCACAGCUCUGGGAACACUGUUGUAAUUUUCCCUUCCCUUUUGCAGUUUUCUUUUUCAUAUUUUUAUCUAUCCGCACCAGGAAUAAUGAACCCCAAAAGCUCACUCUGACCCAUAUGAACAUGGUACACACAGAUCUUUUUGGCAGUCACAUUGAGCAAACUUCAAGAGAAACUCCGGGUAAUUUUUGUCUAUGUUUUCAUCUCCAUUUUACCAUCAUUAAAAUAAGCAAAACAUCUCAGAAAAAAAUGAGAGACACAAAAAAGGGUCAAUAAAUAUUAGUGUCUUUGAAAUGUUUGAUAAGAGUCUGUGCUGGCUUUUGAUUACUGUUGCCUUUUAUUGUUAGAUCUGAGUCUUUUAUUAUGCAUUAUCAAGAGAUAAAACACAUUUACUACUGGUGAAAUUUGGUUCUAUACCCUAAGUAAAAAUGCCUGUUCCUUAAUUCCAUAUGCUACCAAAAGGGAUAAGAUUUUUUGUGAAGUCCCUUCCUAUUUUCAUGGUAAUAGACCUAAAAUUACUUUUACUCACUGAUUAUACAGUGCCCACUAAAAUGCCAGUGGUUAGGUACAUACUGGGAUCACUGAAAUUCAGAGAGGUGUUUAUUUGCAAAUCAUGUACCCCCAGCUCCCAUCUCUUUUCUCCUCUGCAGGAGCUCCUGUGGAGAGACACACAGGAUCUUGCAAGUCCCACGUGUUGGACAGCCUGGGACUGUCACUUGUCCCGUGCCAAACCACAGGGUCAGCACUACCUGUGGGACUGUGUGUGUCCAUCCAUGCACCAUGUUCUGUGUAUGGUGUCUGCUGAGACAAGAAAGAUUCCUGGGAUUCCUAGGGUUCAGGAAGCCAGAAAGUGUGAAAUGUGAGGAAGUCCUAUUUAACUCCUAUGCUGCCCAUAAAAAGUGAAACCAGAUUUUCAGGAGGAGUGCUUAAUCAAGGAGAGGAGAAUUUAAGUUCUCUUCCAGCACACUUGGGCCAUAAAUGAGCUUUAUAACAAAGGUAAAAUGCCAUUUCCACUGGCUGAGAAAAUCAGUAUAGUGAUGGUAUAGAUAUAGUGAUAGAGAUAGAUAGAUAUAGUGGUAGAGAUAAAGUGAUAGACAACUCUAUCUCAUUAUUACGGUAAGUCUGAAAAGACACCCACUUCCUGGAACAGAAUGAGGCCAUGGCCCCAGGGAUAUUCCUAGUGCUAAAAUGCUAAACCCAGACUUGUUUUGGAGCUUCUUUGUAAAGCCUUGCCCUGAGAGGUCCGAUAGAAGGGAGAGCAGAGGUUCCUCCUUAGUGACACCUUCCCUGUGGCUUGUUCUUGAAAGGGCCUGCCUUCCUCUCCUUGGAAAGAGCAUGGAGGAGGAAAACAGCAUCCUGGCUCGUGUCCUAAGCACCUCCAGCUUUCACUUUGAAUUUUGAAGUCAGGCUGGCGAGGCGUGAGUGACACAGUUAUUAAUUUAAACAUUCCUGAGGUGCUGGGCUGCAUGCAGACCACACCUCAGAGGAGCAUGGAAGAGGAUGGAGUUUUCCAGAGCAGAGCUGAGCAUGGAGACACUGCAGAGUAGCCUGUGAGGGAGAUGCAUGCAGACCUUCAGCUCAGUAAGCAGCUUUGAGUCACUGCUCUCCACGAACCAAAUUUAGGGAAACUGUUGGGGGUUCAUCCCUGGGCGCUGUUCUGUUUGGGCAGCCAGGAGAGGAGCACUGCUUCGCCAAAGCAUUGGGCUGCAAGCGGCUGCAGGAACAGGGGCGUGAGGAAAGCAGGAAUUCUGCUAUUAUCAGCUCAGCAGCUCUGCAUGGGGAGGUGACAGCUCGCAGCUCCUGAAGACAAGAGGGCAGACCCAGCAUGGGGAUGCGCUGUUCCACACAGCAGGUCCUGUCCUGUUCUGCUCACCCGACAGGGAAUGAUGCUUGGCUUGCAGGAGCCCGUGUGCGGUUUUACCCGGAUUUCUGGGGACUUUCCUGCGCCAAGGUUUCAAUCCUGAGUCUGCAAGCGACUCAGAUGCCAUGGCAAGUGCAGAAGCAGAAAGAGAGGGCGGUUACACUGGCCCUGUAGCAAGCUGGGGUGAGGAAACGGCUGUGAAUAAAAACAUCAGCAUCUGGCCCAACGAGGCUACCACUUUAUCCAGAAAGCUGAUAGCAGGGAAAUCCAGGGUGGACAGCAGUGUUUAAUGUGAGUCUUUGGCCAUGGCAGGCUGAUUUAAACUCAUCUGCAGUGCAAAGCCCCCUGUGAAGGAAGUGUGAAGCCUGUGAAUGCUUGCUAGGAAAAUAACCAACAUAAUUUAGACUUAAGAAGGUUCAUGGGGUUGGGCUGGACCUGGCAUUGGGAGCAAUUUUCUGGAACAGAGAGGAUGUUCUGUCUCUGGGUCCUCAAACUGCGACACAGAUAGUCAUCACUGCUCUGGGUCUACUCCCUGAAAUAGUUCAGGCUGUGCAGUGAGGUCCUGAUCCUGCAAUGGGCUCUGGACAGGGACAGCAGCCUUCUUAUAUGAGGCAGUAGGACUCCACCUGGAGUUUAAUCCUAAGGCACACAGCUACUUUGAUGACAUGUAUUUACAUACUUUCUGUGCCUAAGCAGAGGACAGUCAGCAGGUCUUGCCAGGGAAAAUGUUUCCUUGAGGUUUUCCUGCAAUGAUACUGAACCUUUGUUUGAGUCUCUUUUUAAAAUGAUUCUGUGCAUUCUCCAAAGAGGUUAAUUCAAAGCAUGGGUCCAAAAUCUCCCUGCAGAGGGGUAGCUGUAUUUCUCAGCGUUUACACUUAAUCAGUCAGUUGGUGUUGCUCAAGAAGGAACUACCCUCCAGUCCUUCUGAAUGUUUUAUCAUCUUUAGGCUGAUGAUUCUAGUUCACAGCCAACAAAUCAGCAAGGUCUUUUCCAAAAGCCGCUAAAGGAAAGCUUCUUUAACAGGAAGCUCCAGGUAUUUUGUCUGUGUCAGAGCCUGAAGACCCAGAUUUCCUUGUUGCAGAUUCCCUGCAGGGAAUGGGUAGCCUCAUGCUUGGUGCUGCUGCCAUUCCUGACCCAAGCUGUUAGACCCCCAUAACAGGAGUCCCCAUGGCUAAUAAUCACCACAGCUUUUGUGGGAUUUUUCACUCCAUCUGACAGACCUGGCUGCAGGUUUCCAGGUGUGUGGAAAGCAGAAAAGUCUUCAAUUUAAAGGUGACUUUUAAAAAACACACCAUACGACAAAGGAGAAGAUCGCCUAUUGGUAUUUGGCUUGGAAAAACAAAACAAGCAAAGCAACUACAGCAACAACAAUAAACCCAAAAGAAGACCUACCCCUCUGUUCUGGACUUCUAAAGGAUGUUUGUGCUUGAUUCUGUAGAAGAGGAGGAAGAAACUCUGUGCUACCAAGGCACACUGCAGUUAGGUGGGGCUGCUGAUUUUGCUCAUGCCAGUGCUGCUGGUGGUUGUGUGGGGGCCAAUAAAGGCACUGUUCUUUG